CUUGAUUAACUAGCCAAUUGGAACUUUGAGGAUAGUUUAAUGGAUAAGGCAUACUCUUUUAUAUAGGCCUAUUUUUAAACCCCAAAACAUGUGGCUACAACAUAGUUAAUUUUGCAUAAUAAGAUAUGCCGAGAAGUAUUUUACUUUCUGUCCCCAGUAACACCUUAACAUUAACUCUCAAUAAAAUAUUAUCUUGAUUUAAAGGUGUCUACCUCUACCAGGCUGUCAAACUGCCAGUCCGAUCGCCAGUCCGAUUUUGUAAAUAUGAAAUGCGCCAUACACCCUGGCGUUAUACCAUAUACCCAGAAGCCUAACCCUCUCUCAGACGGAGAUAUCAAAAUAAAGAUUAUAGAUUAUAUAGAGAUAUUUAUUCACAGGGCUUAAGCCUAUAUUGAAGGCUUAUGAAAGUGGCAAUGUUUAAGAGAAAUCAACAACAGUAACAGUACAAUAACAACAGGCAACCAUGUUUGCAUUAAAAAUAAGCGCAACUAUUUGUUUGUGUGUGUGUGUGUGUGUGUGUGUGUGUGUGUGUGUGUGUGUGUGUGUGUGUGUGUGUGUGUGUGUGUGUGUGUGUGUGUGUGUGUGUGUGUGUGUGUGUGUGUGUGUGAAUGGCAAUGUUUGAAACCUGGUUGGGGCCCUGGUGAGAUCAGUGUUAACAGUCCUGAUGGCCUCGGGAAGGAAAAAUAAACUCUAUCUCAUUCUCUCUGUUUUUGCGUCGUGACCUGGAUAGCACUUGCCUGACCGCAGCGGCUGAACCAAACCCUUGUUGGAGUGCCAUCCCUCUGCAGAGCCCUCCUAUCGGGAGCGGAGCUUUGCCGAACCAGGCAGGGCUGCUUGCUGUCAGGAGGCUGAAGGACUGGAGGAUCGUCAUGGAGACGGUGAUUCUUCAGCUGCCUGGGGUGGUAAAGGUGCUGCCUCGCCUUUCCUACCACAUAUAAUUGAUAAUGUGAUAAAUAUAAAAAAUAUAAUUGUUUAAAUAAAUGCCUUAAAAAUGGAAUGGAGUAAGUAUAAAUGACUAAGGAUUCAUGAUUCAUGAUUAUUUUCUUAGAUGGGUUUGAUAUAUGUUAUUCAUAUACAGUGAAAUUCAAUGCUUCUUCUAAUUCCCUGUGCAUCUUUACAUUGAUUCAAUCUGUAAAUGAAAUAUACAUUUGAUAUUUUUUCCGACUUAGAUGUGAGAGUUUAAUAAUAGGCCCAAUAUAAAUCUAGCAUAUUUACCUUUAUCCCUGCCCGACUGAACAAUUAACUUUUACAACAUUUAAUAAAUUGAUUUCCCAAUUCAAAAUGGCAUGCGAGCGAAAUCCUUAAAUAUCAAGAGUGCGUUCAGCCUAUAGUAUUUGUUCUGGUUUGAUAACCAAAAUGCCCCUGGCGUUUGAUAAAGUACUACACACUAUUACUUACUUACUUACUGACAACUACACAAUGGCAUUGAUUACAAUAGAGACUGAGGAAUUUCUGAUAUAAUUCAAUGAUGACAUAUGCGGCUGCCUCAUAUCUUACUAAAGCAAUUGACUGCCUCUUAUGCAUGUUGUUUCCUCCGAACUUUUCUCUGACUCACAAUCCGGGGGGGGGGGGGUCCUCUCCCUCCAUGAUUUCUUCUGGCUGCCCGGAGCCAGUAAGACUGCUUCUGCUGACAGCACAGAAAUGUGUGGAUGUAAUUAUGUGGCCGGGGGUGUUCAGCGGCAUCCAUCACUGGGACACCAGCCGGCCGCUUAUGUCUCACUGACUAACUGAUGAGGACAAGCCCUCCUCCGUCUUCUUCUCCUUCUUUUUCUCCUUCUUCUUCUUCUUCUUCUUCUUCUUCUUCUUCUUCUUCUUCUUCUUCUUCUUCUUCUUCUUCUUCUUCUUCUUCUUCUUCGUCUUCUUCUUCAUCUAUGCACACACAUAGUUCAAGCACACCAUCUGUGGUAGGACGCACAUUUAUGGAUCUUAUGGUUCAAACACACACACACACACACACACACGCACACAUUUGGAUCAUACAAAAAAGUACACUCUUUGUGAUGCACAUAUAAAUGAUUAGACAAGGAACAUACAAACACACACGCACACACAAACACACACACAAACACACACACACGCACACACACACGCACGCACACACACACACACACAAACAC